UUCCGGUUGAUCCUGCCGGAGGCCAUUGCUAUCGGAGUCCGAUUUAGCCAUGCUAGUCGAGCGAGGUUAGCCCUCGCGGCGAACAGCUCAGUAACACGUGGCCAAGCUACCCUGCAGAGGGGGACAGCGUCGGGAAACUGACGGGAAUCCCCCAUACCGGUCUCACGCUGGAAUGCCGAGACCGACAAACGCUCCGGCGCUGCAGGAUGCGGCUGCGGCCGAUUAGGUAGUCGGUGGGGUAACGGCCCACCGAGCCGAUAAUUGGUACGGGGUGUGAGAGCACGAGCCCGGAGACGGAAUCUGAGACAAGAUUCCGGGCCCUACGGGGCGCAGCAGGCGCGAAACCUUUACACUGCACGAAGGUGCGAUAAGGGGACUCCGAGUGCGAGGGCAUACAGUCCUCGCUAUUGUGUACCGUAGGGUGGUACACGACCAAGAGCUGGGCAAGACCGGUGCCAGCCGCCGCGGUAAUACCGGCAGCUCGAGUGAUGGCCGAUUUUAUUGGGCCUAAAGCGUCCGUAGCUGGCCCUGCAAGUCCGUCGGGAAAUCCACUCGCCUAACGAGUGGGCGUCCGGCGGAAACUACAGGGCUUGGGACCGGAAGACUUGAGGGGUACGUCUGGGGUAGGAGUGAAAUCCUGUAAUCCUGGACGGACCGCCGAUGGCGAAAGCACCUCAAGACAACGGAUCCGACAGUGAGGGACGAAAGCUAGGGUCUCGAACCGGAUUAGAUACCCGGGUAGUCCUAGCCGUAAACGAUGUUCGCUAGAUGUGGCACAGGCUACGUGCCUGUGCUGUGUCGUAGGGAAGCCGAGAAGCGAACCGCCUGGGAAGUACGUCCGCAAGGAUGAAACUUAAAGGAAUUGGCGGGGGAGCACUACAACCGGAGGAGCCUGCGGUUUAAUUGGAUUCAACGCCGGA
rnacentral:rRNA from 1 species